rnacentral:rRNA from 1 species
GAGCCUUGANYUCUUAAUGGCGCAACUAACGCAUUAASUUGACCGCCUGGGGAGUACGGCCGCNWGGUUAAAACUCAMAGGAAUUGACGGGACNGCCNCCNCKGUAAUACUUAGGGGGUAAGCGUUGUCCSGAUUUACUGAGGUGUAUANGNCGCGUANGCNGAUCUGUAAUUCACUGGUGAAAUCCUACASCUUAACUGUAGAACUGCCCUUGAUACUGCAGAUCUCGAGUUCGGAAGAGAGAGAUGGAAUUCCAGGUGUAGUGGUGAAAUACNUAGAUAUCUGGAAGAACACCANUGGCGAAAGCGGUCUCUUGGUCCGUAACUGACGCUGAGGCGCGAAAGCGUGGGUAGCAAACAGGAUUAGAUACCCUGGUAGUCCACGCCGUAAACRAUGAAUACUASGUGUUGGGUUUUUUAACCCAGUGCCRCAAGCUAACNCAUUAAGUAUUCCACCUGGGGAGUAC